rnacentral:rRNA from 1 species
UGGGGAAUAUUGCACAAUGGGCGCAAGCCUGAUGCAGCGACGCCGCGUGGGGGAUGACGGCCUUCGGGUUGUAAACUCCUUUCGCUAGGGACGAAGCUUUUUGUGACGGUACCUAGAUAAGAAGCACCGGCUAACUACGUGCCAGCAUCCGCGGUAAUACGUAGGGUGCGAGCGUUGUCCGGAAUUACUGGGCGUAAAGGGCUCGUAGGUGGUUUGUCGCGUCGUCUGUGAAAUUCCGGGGCUUAACUCCGGGCGUGCAGGCGAUACGGGCAUAACUUGAGUACUGUAGGGGUAACUGGAAUUCCUGGUGUAGCGGUGAAAUGCGCAGAUAUCAGGAGGAACACCGAUGGCGAAGGCAGGUUACUGGGCAGUUACUGACGCUGAGGAGCGAAAGCAUGGGUAGCGAACAGG